GUAAGGCAGCUCUGAGUUUAAAGAGGAAUGGUUUGUAUCAAGGUGCUUUUUAGCAAAAGACAGAAAUUAUGUCAGUACUAUUUUUUUUAUGGCAAGGAAAAAAAGAAAAGACAAAGAGAAGGAGGGAAACUUCCAGGAUGCCCCAGAAUGCUUCCUUCUCACUUGUUCAUGGAUUCCUUCAUAAUAAAGCACCUAGGUGAACAAGGUGUGCAUCAGGUGCUGAGGGAGAGAAAGAUACUUAAGAUGUAGUGUCUGCCCUAAAAGAAUUAAAAGAUGACUGUGCACCAAAAGAUGAACACAGAUUUCAGAGAGCACCAAAGGUCACAAAGUGGAAAAGAAAUUCUUUCUUCACCGAGGCUCUAGGAUUGUUCAACCAGGUGAAGAGGCCACAACAGGAAGGAGGGGGAAGAGGAGUGUCAUGGUGCAUAACGGUCUCCUAGUCUCUUUGUCCGGGAGGAAAUGAGGUCAUCCUGCUCUCAGAAUCAGCAUGACAGCCUCCAGCCAAGUAAUCUGAAGUCAUGAGAGCUGCCGGGAGAGUGCUGUGAAUCACAACAGUCAGCUGGGAAUUUCCUGAUAACUAACCUACAAGUUUCGGGUUUCCCAAUUCCUUUCCUCAGAGGUGAAAACAGAAGUUUCUACAUUAAGAAGGCUUUAUUCUUCCAUUGUCUUUAUUAAGUGACAAUACUAUGGAUGGUUCAUUAGAGGAACUUCCUGGAAGACACAUCAAAACUUCAAUAGAAAGCAUCGACAGUUUGUGCCCUAAGACUUUAUUCUCACGUGUGUGAGUGUAAAAUCGCCUCAGUCGUGUCUCUUUGGAACUUUAUGGACUCUAGCCUUCCUGUGUCAUCUCUCUAUGGAGAUUCUCCAGGCAAGAAUAGUGGAGAGGGUUACCAUGCCCUCGGGGGUUCCAAUCCAAGUCUCUUAUGUCUCCUGCAUUGGCAGAUAGGUUCUAUGCCACUAGUGCCACCUGGGAAGCCCUGUUCUCACAAUCCUACAAAAUCAUAGCAGGAUUCUUAUCCAGUCCUUAUCAAGCCCUCACUUUCAAAGACUCCCUUAAAUCAAACUGCAAAAGUGAAAGUCGCUCAGUCGUGUCCGACUCUUUGUGACCCGUGGACUAAUCCACGGAAUUCUCCAGGCCAGAAUACUGGAGUGGGUAGCCUUUCCCGUCUCCUGGGAUCUUCCCAACCCAGGGAUCGAACCCGGGUCUCCCGCAUUGCAGGCGGAGUCUUUACCAACUAAGCCGCAAGGGAAGCCCAAUCAAACUGCAAAUUCUCAAUAAAAUCCGACGCCCUCCCCCACCGCCUGUCACGACCAAACUGCCUUACUGCAGUAAGCAAUAAACUCAGCUUGUCUUAUCCA